CUGCUGUACCUUAGAAUCAUCAGGGGAGC
rnacentral:piRNA from 1 species